GCUUUUCCCCCCCUUUCCCGGAUUGGAAUUAUUACCCCGCUUCUUGGUCUUGGUCUUGGGAAAGUCAAGCAAUCUCGGGGCUUGGUUAGUACUUGGAUGGGUGACCGCUUGGGAAUACCAAGUGUGAUAAGCA
rnacentral:rRNA from 1 species